CUGGGAAGAAAAUGUCCUGAAGGAAGAAAACAUCACAGGCUCUGAGCCAUGAAGGGGGAGGGGGAACCUGCACCUCACAUUUCCUCCCACCCACCAGCUCAGGUCUACAGCCCAGGUCGAAGAGUUGCAAAGAAGAAUAAGUAAAAACCACAACAGUUUAGUCAAUAAUCAUAAUACACUACUUCAGUAACCCAAAACUCAAAGUGCUCUCUCUCUAAACUUCCCACCAGACCUUGCGAGCAUGAACUGUAACAGCCGCAGGAGACAAGGGCCCCUUGAUGCUGACAGCAGGCCCAGGACAUCAGACGUCUGCAGACGCGAGGGCCCUCCACCAGGCUCAGCAGGGCAGCCACUGCCCCGCCCGGGCAGCACCGGGGACCAACGCCACGCUCCAGGUCUCCUGGAAUGAUGGUUCCCGUCGCCUUCCAAAGCUCUCUUCAGCCAGCCCGGAGGACAGACGUCCGCUCCCGUCCUGCUGAGUUGCCCUCGUCCUUUCAUCCCCAGGCAGACACCCACGCUGGCCCUCUAAAUCUUCGCUUACUGAUCCAAGACUAAGGGACUGAGAAGGCUCCUCCAGUCUGCGUCCUCCGGUCACAGUGGUCCUGGUUGCAGGUUUGGGGGACUCCCAGGGGGAGGUCCCCGGGCCAGCAGAGCCUCCCAGAAUCACCACUUCUGCCGAGUCACCAGUUCUAGCAUCUCAUUGCAACCCUGCCUGUCCAGAGAUGGGACUCCCUGCACCACCCCCUCCACGACAGACACACCCUGCCCAUAUUCAGUGCGGUGACUGAGAGGCUGUCGAUGGGCCUGGGCUCCAAGCCCGUCAUCCUCCUGAUUCCCGCCUCCCCCAAGCACUAGCUGCAAACCCCAGAUCUGGGCCUGUUUUCCCAUCUGGAAAUGGAGGAAAUAAUGCCCACCUCACAAGAUCGCUGGGAGCACUGGAUGACUCAUUCACGUAAAGCAUUUAGCAGAGUCUGCUAAGUGCUCACUCACUAAGUGGCAUUUCUCGCUACUGUUAUGCCAUAUAUUGAUUUUCUUUUAAUAGUAAACUACUCCAGGGACUAGUGUGGUGAGUUCCCACCUCAGGUUAUCUUCUUCCCAGCAUCAGUGUCCUGGGGAGGCCCAAGCAGUAACAGGGUUACCAGGUGAACACACAACCAGACCAGGGAAGUGGAGUGGGCGCUCCGGGAGGGCCCCAUAAACACCACCAGGGCUCCACAGAGGGUACCUCUCUAAGCAGAACCUGCUUGUGCCCCCGCUCCCAGGCCCUGUCCUCUCGCCCGGGCACGCUUGGAUCUGUGAACACCAUUUCCUCCACACUCGGGAUCCCCCUUCUGAUGACACUUUCUUUCUCUAGAUGCGUGAGUCUCACUGACUAAGCCAGUCAGAUCUCCGUUCCCUGGGCCUCCAAGAAGGCGUUUCUCUUCCCAUUAUGAGUUGACUUUGCAAAACCAGCCCUCACUGCUCAGAGGUUUCCCGCUUUUGCAGCCCACAGCCUGGCUGUUGGUGUGCAAGUAACAAUGCCACUCAAUGUGUGACGGUUACAAAGGACAGCCACCCCACAUGCUACCUCAGUCCAGGUUUGUUAGAACUCAAUCUCCCCCUCGGAACUGGAAGGCCCUUGACCAGCCGCCACGCAGGCUUUCAAUUCUGUUCCCUCAUAAAGAAAAGCAGGCCGAGAGAAGCACCCAGAGCUAGUGCCUCGCAUCAGGUACUCCUCCAGUUCACGGGGCCAGGACCGCAGGUCAGCCUGCUCCUCUCCAGACCCUGUUCAAGGGCCCCAGUCCAGCAGAGAAAGCCGCUCUGACCUCUUCCUGCAAACCGGCCGAUGGUUAGGAAUGGAGACAGGCAGUUCACUGGGGCUCUGGCUCCUUCGAUUUUGUGUUUGGGAACCAGGCAGAUGGCGGGGAAGGAAGGAAGAUGGCGGGCAAGGACUUCACCCACACAGCCUCUCUCUAUCCCUCCCUCCACACGCCCAACCCCUUGCCCUCUGUCUCAUCCACGUCUGUGAGUUUCUGCCUCUUCAUCAACCUCCGUCUGUUUUUCUGUCUCCCUCAGUUUCUGUCUGUCUUAAUUCCACUCUUCUUUCUCUUUCCUCCAGCGGGUAAUUUUCUACGGACAUUUCCACUCUCCUUCCUGUUUUCUGUCUCUCCUUCUCUGUCUCUUUCUCAUCUCCAUCUUCCUGUCUUUAUUUCUAAAUCUACUUUACUCUCUUAAAUUACUCAAUUUUUUUUCUUUGGUUUUCUUCUUUUCCCUUCCAAAGAAAAAUACUAAAAUGGGAGAUAAGAUAGCUGCCAACCUUGUAUCGAUUUCACACACCCCAUCCCACCCCCAUACACACAGACCCCAAGAUCCUGUUCAGGAUGGUGGUUCUGGGUGCCAUCCUCAGAGUCAUCACUGAUAAAAUGGAUAGCCUUCUCCCUGUCAAACCCCAGAUGGCCUCUCAGUCAAGCACACCCCAAACUGGAGCAACCCGGAUAUCCCAACUCAGAAAUGACCAGACCAGGACAGAAUGAAAUAUUUCUGUUGUAAAGCAUGGCCUCCAGUGGAGCCUUCUCAGUGGUCCAACACCUGUCCCUACCUGGGUGACUACACAGCACCCACACCCCAUCCCACCCCACCCAGCUCCUGCCCUGCCCUGCCCUGCACUUUGCUUAUCUUAUCAGCAGAAGAUGACAGCAAGGACACACCCAGCCUAAUCCGGCUUUCCCAAUAACUUGAGUCUGAAGUACCAUCAGUAAGUGGCCUGGUCACAUCCAAGAUGGCUCAGAGGAGGCAGAAGAUGAGGGGUACCUAUACUUUGGGUGGUUCCCAGAAAUGAAAUACAAGUGGUCUGGGUCUGAUCCCUGGGACAUGGUGCCUAGUAGCCUGGCUAGAAUCGAGAAGACUGGACAGAAGAUACUAUUACGGCCCAACUGACUCAUUUCAUUUCCUUCAAGCACUGUCAUCACCAUCACUCAGCAGGCCCUGCCUGGGGAAGGGUGCCUGCAGCCCCGAGACCUCCAGAAGCUGGACCCGGCAGGCCAGCUCCAUCCAGGGCUCUCACUGGCGUCUCCGACUCAACCUGCUCAGAUCCAGACUCUUCAUCUUCCUUCCCAAACCCAUCCCUCACCUCUGUUUGCCACCUUGGUAAAUAGUACCACUAUUUGCCGGGUCAUUCAAAGAACUGGGACUCACCCUGGAUCCCCCGCCAGCCUUGUUUUCCGAACCUAGUCACCAAGUCUAAUCCACAUGUAAAAUUUCUCUCUGCUCUCCUGGUUCCUCUGACCUGGUUCAGGACCUCAUCGUCCCUACCGGGACUUCUGCAAUAGUCCCCUACUGUCCUCUCUACCCCAGUCUCACUCCACACUGCUGCCAGGGGUGGAAGGGUUUUCCAAAAUUAAUGAAGAAAAAAACAAAUCAUCCUCCUGCUUCAACAACUCCUCCUGGCUCCUUAUUGUCCAGACCUGUGUUCUCCAAACCCCUUUGAUCCCUGAUGAUAAAAAAUUUUGGCACCCAUCCCUCACUUAUGUAUAUUUAUUUGCAUGUAAAUUAUGUUUACGUGUACUGCCAUCAUUAGCCAAAAUCUGAAGGACAAUAAACCCUUAGAGAAAUAGUA